GCCUAGCCCUAAAUCUUGAUACUCUCCCCCACUAAAGUAUCCGCCCGAGAACUACGAGCACAAACGCUUAAAACUCUAAGGACUUGGCGGUGCCCCAGAUCCACCUAGAGGAGCCUGUUCUGUAAUCGAUAACCCACGAUACACCCAACCCCCCCUUGCCAAAACAGCCUAUAUACCGCCGUCGCCAGCCCACCUCUCCUGAGAGUCCAACAGUGAGCAAAAUAGCCCCACCUCGCUAGCAAGACAGGUCAAGGUAUAGCCUAUGGGGCGGAAGAAAUGGGCUACAUUUUCUAAGAUAGACAACUUCACGGAAAGGGACAUGAAACCGUCCCCAGAAGGCGGAUUUAGCAGUAAAGCGGGAUAAUAAAGCCCCCUUUAAACCGGCCCUGAGGCA
rnacentral:rRNA from 1 species